rnacentral:misc_RNA from 1 species
GGAAGAAAAAAAACAGUACUUAACCCCAGAAUCAGUAGAUAGUUAAUUCCUGGUGCCAGAUAGAAGGAUUAUGCACAUUAUGGCUGCAUAAAUCAUGAUUCAGAGGUUGCUGCUCAGGUUGAGUGAAGUUGCAAAUGCAGUAAUAAAGAAUCUCUACCUAAUGCGCUUGAGUCCAACAAAAAUUCAUGCUCAAGCCAGAUGAGAACAUUUGAUUUGUGGAUGAUGUUGCGCUCAAUAACAGUAAAAAUCAUAAGAAAGCUCAGGCUAAUGAUGUCACUACUAAGGUUGAAUGAAGUCGCAAGUGCAAAAUAAAGUAGCUCAGCUUAAUGCACAGAAGUCCAAAAAAAAAUUCACGUUCAAGCCAGAUGAGUACAUUUGAUUCGUGGAUGAUGGAAGAUGGAUAAUGUUGCCCAAAAUAACAGUAAAAAUCAUAAAAAACAAGACAAAUGCCCUCCAACAGACUUGAACAUCUAAAAGUACAAUGAAUUGUAAAACUAGAAUACAUUGUAACAAGAAGGUACCAAAAACAUUCCCGAUUGGGAACUCGAGUAAACCGCAUUGUAUAACUAAAAUACUGCUGCAAAUUGAAUCUCAAAGGAGAUGACUAACAUUAGAAACGAACUUACACUCACUGCAAGCAAUUUGCUACCAAGCAGAGAUAUGACCACCCAUGAUUGUCAUCUCUUCUUGAAGCCAUACUUCUUCCUUUCAUAGAAUAGAUCUGUUUUUGCACUUCCCAAAUUGACAAUUUUCGGACAUCCAUCUCGGUCUUUCUCCUGUUGAGUACACUCUUUGCAGUAAUAAGCAUCAGAUAUAACCACCCCUCCACAUAUAACACACCGACCUUGGAAGGAUCCAUAGUUGCAUUCAUCGCAGACCCGCACAAGUGUGCAUGGACGCACAUAAGAAUCGCAUAUUACACAUUUACCAUCACACUUCUCACAUAGCCGUCCAAUUGCAAUCCCUGGUUGCUUCCGGCACAUUAUUAAAUCAGGAUGAUGUUUUGCCAUUCUGUCUUAGCUUCCACACCACAAGUUCUCUGAUUCUUGUUUUUCCUUUUUCUUCUACUCUAAUCAACUUCAUUCCGG